CAGUAGCCGCGGUAAUACGUAGGUGGCAAGCGUUGUCCGGAAUUAUUGGGCGUAAAGGGCUCGCAGGCGGUUUCUUAAGUCUGAUGUGAAAGCCCCCGGCUCAACCGGGGAGGGUCAUUGGAAACUGGGAAACUUGAGUGCAGAAGAGGAGAGUGGAAUUCCACGUGUAGCGGUGAAAUGCGUAGAGAUGUAGAGGAACACCAGUGGCGAAGGCGACUCUCUGGUCUGUAACUGACGCUGAGGAGCGAAAGCGUGGGGAGCGAACAGGAUUAGAUACCCCAGUAGUCCCUGUCUCUUAUAC
rnacentral:rRNA from 1 species